CUCUCUCUGUCUCUCUCUCUUUCUCUGGUUUCGGUUCCGGGUUGGAGCGAGCGGUCACAUCUACACUUCGGUCCGCAGGUGGCGAAUCGCAUCUCUGCAUGUCUGGCAGACAUAUCAGUGUGGAUGACGGAUCACCACCUCAAGCUGAACCUCGGCAAGACGGAACUGCUCUUCCUCCCGGGGAAGGACUGCCCGUUCCAUGAUCUCGCCAUCACGGUUGACAACUCCAUUGUGUCCUCCUCCCAGAGCGCUAAGAACCUUGGCGUGAUCCUGGACAACACCCUGUCGUUCUCAACUAACAUCAAGGCGGUGGCCCGUUCCUGUAGGUUCAUGCUCUACAACAUCCGCAGAGUACGACCCUGCCUCACACAGGAAGCGGCGCAGGUCCUAAUCCAGGCACUUGUCAUCUCCCGUCUGGAUUACUGCAACUCGCUGUUGGCUGGGCUCCUUGCCUGUGCCAUUAAACCCCUACAACUCAUCCAGAACGCCGCAGCCCGUCUGGUGUUCAACCUUCAAUAUCAAUAUUGUCAACAUACUCAAUAGAAUACAUAGAGAGAACGUGUUCAGAAUACAGGGAUCAAUGAAAGAAAUAUAUGCAUAUUCUCUCAGUUUCAGCAACAAUUGUCCGAAAAAAAUAAUCAAAUUGUCACGACUUCGGCCGAAGUCGUUGCCUCUCCUUGUUCGGGCGGUGCUCGGCGUUCGACGUCACCGGUCUUCUAGCCAUCAUUGAUCCUUUUUUCAUUUUCCAUUGGUUUUGUCUUGUCUUCCCACACACCUGUUUUCAAUCCCAUUCAUUACCUGUUGUGUAUUUAACCCUCUGUUUCCCCUCAUGUCUUUGUCAGAGAUUGUUUUAUUGUCAGUGUAGUGUGAUUGUUGUAUAGGUGCGCGCCGGGUCCUCGUACCCAUGUUUGUUUGUUUAUGUACAUUUAGUGUUAUGGAGCAAACUCCGUGGACUUCAUUAAAAGACUCCAUUUUACACUCCA